GGGUGAUAGCCCCUUACACGAAAUUCAGACGGUGGUACUAAGCGUACGACAAGUAGGGCGGGACACGAGAAAUCCUGUCUGAACAUGGGGGGACCAUCCUCCAAGGCUAAAUACUCGUAAUCGACCGAUAGUGAACCAGUACCGUGAGGGAAAGGUGAAAAGAACCGUGAACAACGGAGUGAAAUAGACCCUGAAACCAUACGCCUACAAGCGGUCGGAGCCAGUUUACUGGUGACGGCGUGCCUUUUGCAUAAUGAGCCUACGAGUUACUUUUACCGGCAAGGUUAAGCACCUCAGGUGCGCAGCCGUAGCGAAAGCGAGUCUGAAUAGGGCGUAUAGUUGCAGGGAUGAGACCCGAAACGAGGUGA
rnacentral:rRNA from 1 species